UACAUGCAUUUAUAAAUAUUAAAAAUCAUCUUAACUAUGAUCAUUAUUGCCGUAAAAAUAAGUUCCAAAAAUUAUUGCAGUAAACUUCUUUUAGUUCCAAAAAUAACUACAAAGCAUCAUUCAACCAGCACAGAAUGCAGUACUCUACCAGAUCUCCUUAAAGAUGUUUCUACAACAGAUUUCAAAUUUGAUCUUGUCAUGCCCCCGACCCGAGAUCACGAGUCC
rnacentral:lncRNA from 1 species